rnacentral:rRNA from 1 species
GAUGAACGCUGGCGGCGUGCCUAAUACAUGCAAGUCGAGCGAACAGAUAAGGAGCUUGCUCCUUUGACGUUAGCGGCGGACGGGUGAGUAACACGUGGGUAACCUACCUAUAAGACUGGGAUAACUUCGGGAAACCGGAGCUAAUACCGGAUAACAUUUGGAACCGCAUGGUUCUAAAGUGAAAGAUGGUUUUGCUAUCACUUAUAGAUGGACCCGCGCCGUAUUAGCUAGUUGGUAAGGUAACGGCUUACCAAGGCAACGAUACGUAGCCGACCUGAGAGGGUGAUCGGCCACACUGGAACUGAGACACGGUCCAGACUCCUACGGGAGGCAGCAGUAGGGAAUCUUCCGCAAUGGGCGAAAGCCUGACGGAGCAACGCCGCGUGAGUGAUGAAGGGUUUCGGCUCGUAAAACUCUGUGAUUAGGGAAGAACAAAUGUGGAAGUAACUGUGCACGUCUUGACGGUACCUAAUCAGAAAGCCACGGCUAACUACGUG